AGAGAAGCGAAAUGGGAUCCUCGUUCUUACUUUUUCCUCCAGAUUAAGCUCACUUCAGACCAAAUGAGGAAACAGUGGGACAGCCAGACCUGAAAGGUGAAUACAGACUGCUUAUGCUGUGUUGACUUCAGACAUCUCUAUCCAAGAGUCACAAUCCUACUGCAUCUGACGCAAUUCAUACCUGAGCCAUCUCACCACCGAAUGUUGAUGGCAUAUGACACCGGUGUGCCCUUCACUGUUUUUGUGGGUAAUUCUCCUGUUAUUCCGUAAAUCAAGC